GCUGAUAGAGCACUUCCUUGGUAAGAAUGAGGUCACGGGUUCGAUUCCCGUCAUCAGCU
rnacentral:tRNA from 1 species